UGGACCAAACGCUUCCCAGCCUAAGCA
rnacentral:piRNA from 1 species